UACGGGGGGAGAAAGCGUUGUUCGGAUUUACUGGGCGUAAAGGGCGCGUAGGCGGCUUAACAAGUCACUUGUGAAAUCUCCGGGCUUAACUCGGAACGGCCAAGUGAAACUGUCAAGCUAGAGUGCAGAAGGGGCAAUCGGAAUUCUUGGUGUAGCGGUGAAAUGCGUAGAUAUCAAGAGGAACACCUGAGGUGAAGACGGGUUGCUGGGCUGACACUGACGCUGAGGCGCGAAAGCCAGGGGAGCAAACGGG
rnacentral:rRNA from 1 species